GUACAUGGUACCCCAACAAAUUCAUUGUGCAAAUAUACACAAGAAUAAUGAGUUAAAAUGAUGAAUGCGUAAUAAUCGUUAGGCACAAUUUAGUAAUAAUGUGUAGGCAAUUAAGAGCAACAAAAAUUGAGACGUACUCCAUAUUACAUUGUGUGAUUGUCUGGCUAUAUCAUCCCCAAAUUUAGUGGUCAUUAGAGUACUAGAAUGGCAU
rnacentral:lncRNA from 1 species